rnacentral:lncRNA from 1 species
AUGUAUAAAUCAAAUCUAAAACUAUCAUACAAGAUCUAUGAUAUGAACUAAUAUGUAUGUAUGUAAAUCUGAAAUCUAAAAUUCAGUAAGUAUAGAUCAUAUCUAUAUGUAAUUAGAUCACAUCUAAAUUAUAUUUAGAUCAUAUCUAAAUAUAAAUUAAGUUUAAAACUUCAUAUUUGAGCAUGGAUAGCAGAUCACUGCAUUCAAAAUUCAUGAUAGUUGAUUCUUCAUG